UGCAGGAAAUGCAGACAAUUCUCCAGUAUACACACGUCAUGUCAUUUUAUCUGGUGCGGGGGGUUUACUGCUGUUGAUGGGAUUAGGAGGAGUCAUCUGCUGGAGAUACAGAGUUCAGAGACGUGAACAGACAGUGAACAGAGAGGGACAAACAGGACAGAGGAGAGAUCAGCAGACACAGGAUGAUGUGAUAUAUUCUACUGUAGCCCAUAUAAACACCACCAGACCAGCACCCAGAGCAAUGGAUAAUGGAGAUAAUACAGAAUAUGUCAAUAUCAAACUAAAUUAACAAACCUGAACACACACACACACACACACACACACACACACACACACACUCUUUUAUUGUAUGGGAGCCAAUGAACUGUUAUGUUCUUCUGUCUUGGUUUCAGUGCUGUCUUUGUAUAAUUUGCUGUAUCUAUUGGUAAUUGCUAAUUAACUGCUAAUUAGUUAUUUCAGGUGUGGUUUCAGACUGGCAUAAGUUAGGAAUUGUAGGGGGAGGACUAACAGUGACAGGGGCAGGACUAAGACUGAUAACAUUACAGUGUAGCCACUCCAAGAACCAGAGUACUCGGGUUUUAUUCCUCUUGAUUUCAUCUUCUACUUGGGAAAGGAGGCUAACUGCUAAAUCUAAAUGUUAAACGCUGUAAACGUCAAUUAAAAUUUUCUCAGUCUGCAACUAUAAUUGUGACUCCUACAAGUAUCAUUUCCUACAAGUAUCAUAUGUCUGUACAAUAAUAAAAACAAUUUAUUAUGUUUUAUUAUAUUAUGGAUUUUUUCAGCAGAAUGUUUUUUCUUCAUUUUAUUUGUGUAUCUCUGUUGAAGCAUUUUUGGAUAUUUAAUCUUUAAAUUGUAGCACAUUUUUAUGUUAAGCAGGUCAUUUUAUAGUCAAAUGCCGUCCCUUGUCUGUACGCAUCACUUCCACUGUGAGAGUCUAUUGCUGUUUCAUAAAUAAAGAGCCAAAGCAGGACA